AUCCACUGAUCCUUCAACACAGAGCAUCUUCAGAAGACAAGCUGAGAAAAUAAAUGUUAAAAAUCUGUAUUUAUUCAUACAGAUACAUGUUUUAUUGCACCCCUAAAGUCUAUAUAAAUAUUCAUGAAAUAAUGUUUAAUGUUAAAAAUAACCAUGGAUCCCUUUAAGAGUUUAAAUAUGAUUAAAGACAGACUCAGGUUUUUAUUUGAUUAUUUUAUCCUGUUUGUUUCAGGUGUGAUCAGUUUGUUAAAGUCUGAAACUCUAAAAACACAAGAAUAAAUACAAGAAUUAAAUGUUUUCUUUGUACUUUUGUUACAAACAAGCUCAUUUCAACAGGUUGAACAGGAUUAAAGGAUGAAAAGUCCAACAUGCUGUUUCCAGCUGAUCAUCAUGAACUUAGCUCUGAUUGGAUCGUUCCUGAUUUAAGGAGGUCUCCUCCUGUGGAAGCCCCUCCCCUCAGGCUCCGCCUCCUCAGCUGAGUGACAAGCUGUAGCUCCAGACACAGCUGAGCUGCAGCUGAUGAUCAGUCCUUCAUGUUGUCUCAGGUCAGCUGGGUGGAGUUAGUUCAUGUUCAGUGGGAAGUGCAGCCGUCCUGACCUGCUCACCUGUUCACUUUAGAUCUGUUCAGUUUGUAGAAGUGAGAGGUUUUACUGUCAGCUUCAUUCAUUCAUUCAUUCAUUCAUUCAUUCAUUCAUUCAUUCUGUGUGAAGAUUUGUAUUUAAAGCCAAACAGAUUGUUUGUGUUUGUGAGAAAUUGUUCAUUUUUAUUUGACACGUCCAACAGAACGAAGUCAGAGUUUGAAACUUUGAUGAAAGUUUAGACGUUUCUGAGUUCAUUUAGAGGGAAACUGGUUUUAUUUGUAACCUGGGUGGUCCUGAAAGGUCUGUCUCUGACUUGUCCCCAGUGGUCUCAGUGCUGUCCAUCCAUCCAUCCAUCCAUCCAUCCAUCCAUCCAUCCAUCCAUCCAUCCAUCCAUCCAUCCAUCCGUCCAUCCGUCCUGCAGACAGACGUUUGGCUUCAUGAAUGAAAGCGCUGCCUCUUCAUCAGCUGCACCGUGAUGCUCUUUAGUCCGGGGACACGAGCAGAAAAUGGAACAAUAGAUUGGUCAUAAACUGAUCUGCACCAGGAGMUGUGUGUGAAACACUGAAGUCAUGGAGGCUCUGUUUGCUCCAAUCAGAGCCGUCCACA